rnacentral:rRNA from 1 species
GACGAACGCUGGCGGCGUGCUUAACACAUGCAAGUCGAACGGUGAAGCGCUUGCCUUUUUGGUGGGUGUGGAUGAGUGGCGAACGGGUGAGUAACACGUGAGUAACCUGCCCUCUUCUUCUGGAUAACCUCAUGAAAGUGGGGCUAAUACGGGGUAUUCCGGGUCUGUCGCAUGGCGGGUUUGGGAAAGAUUGCGCCUUUGGGUGUUUUCGGUGGGGGAUGGGCUCGCGGCCUAUCAGCUUGUUGGUGGGGUGAUGGCCUACCAAGGCGGUGACGGGUAGCCGGCCUGAGAGGGUGGACGGCCACACUGGGACUGAGACACGGCCCAGACUCCUGCGGGAGGCAGCAGUGGGGAAUAUUGCACAAUGGGCGCAAGCCUGAUGCAGCGACGCCGCGUGAGGGAUGGAGGCCUUCGGGUUGUGAACCUCUUUCGCCAGGGAAGCAGGCCUGCUCCUGUGUGGGUGGGUUGACGGUAGCUGGAUAAGAAGCGCCGGCUAACUACGUG